AAAUUCUCUCAGUGCUCACAACUGGCCUGAGCACGCCCCUGAUAUGCUUUCAGGAAGGCAGGAAGAGCAUUUUGCUCUUAGUGAUGGCCUACAUACUGUGUGGGAGUAGAAACGGAUUCAUUCAACUGUGCUGGCAACCCAUGCAAUGGCACAGGCUCGCACCGUGGAAAAUGACAACCACAAUAAUAACCACACCAGCAUGUAAAUAUGUGCACCUUGAAAGAGCAGAAGGAGGAGAAGCAAAAGAAAAGGAUGACGCAGCGAGACGCUAGAUCAGUGAUGACAGUGCUGGGAGUGGUAUACAACUUCUUUCCAGUACAGACCGGUUCAAACCGAGAUCUUACAUGAGGAACUAAGCAUGAGUUGUACACAAAUUACGUAUUAGUCAGCAUUCUCCCCGGAAGAUCCCACCAUAAAAGCAAAUCCAACAGAGAUACAGUACGUCACUAUUUGAGUGUUACGUUCUUUAUAAAAAUGUAUUCAAACAACACCAUGCUACAGGAUCAAUAUUAGUUUAGGGGGCUGGAUUUGAACCCCGGAUCCCCGAACUGUGAGGCAGAUGUGCUAACCAGUCGCCCCACCGUUCCACAUGUAAACAGACACAUUCAAAUGUUUUUUUGGGUGAUUAUAAGUAUGCCUUUAAACCCUAACAUUUCACUUUUACAUGAUAAGUGAAAGUAUAUUCCUUUACUGAUCUCACAUUUUGAUAUUUGCUGAAUGAUUCGCCACAGCCUUCAUUCGAGCAACAAAGAUCCGAACCCUGCCCUACAUGCCUGCUUGCUGUGACACAUUCAGGCGCCAUGGUAAUCCUC